GACGAACGCUGGCGGCGUGCUUAACACAUGCAAGUCGAACGGAAAGGCCCUGCUUUUGUGGGGUGCUCGAGUGGCGAACGGGUGAGUAACACGUGAGUAACCUGCCCUUGACUUUGGGAUAACUUCAGGAAACUGGGGCUAAUAUCGGAUAGGAGCUCCUGCUGCACGGUGGGGGUUGGAAAGUUUCGGCGGUUGGGGAUGGUCUGGCGGCUUAUGCGCUUGUUGGUGGGGUAGUGGCUUACCAGGUCUUUGACGGGUAGCCGGCCUGGGAGGGUGACCGGGCACAAUGGGACUAAGAGACGGCCCAGAAUGGAACGGGAGGCAACAGGGGGGAGUAUUGCGCAAUGGGCGGAAGUGUGAGGCAGCAGCGUCGGGUGCGGGAUGACGGCCUACGAGUUGUAAACCGCUUUGGACUGUGACGAAGCGUGAGUGACGGUAAUGGGUAAAGAAGCACCGGCUAACUACGUG
rnacentral:rRNA from 1 species